AGUUCUGCUUCUGAAGCUGGAAGGGGCUUUUCGGUUGUAACCCUUGGGUUAGUUUCAGUUACUUCUUUGCUAGGUUGAGGAAAGGGUGGAAGCGCCUCCUGCAGCCACGAAUAUCCUCCAGUGCCUGAGAGAAAACGGCCUAAUCGAAAACGUCCGCGGCAUACAUCCAUUCUUAAAACUUGAGUGGCUGCUUUUCUGGGUGGAAAAGAGCGGUAUCAGACAGGUAACAAUGCCUGGAUUUUAUUCAGAUGCUGUGUACCCAGCCAAAAGACUACAUUUCUCAAUCUCCAUUGUAGCUGGAUGUGGCUGUGUGAUCAAGUUAUGACCAAUGAGAUAUAAGUAGAAGUAGCUUGGCCAGACACAGUGGCUCACACCUGUAAUCCCAGCCCUUUGGGAGGCCAAAGCAGGAGGAUCACUUGCACUCAGGAGUUGGAAACUGCAGACCAGCCUGGAGAACACAGUGACACCUUGUCUCUACACAAAAUGAAAAAGUUAGCAGGGUAUGGUGGCAUGUGCCUGUGGUCCCAGCUACUUCCAGCUACUUGGGAGGCUAAAAUGGAAGGAUCGCUUGAGCCUGGGAGAUUGAGGCCUCAGUGAGCCAUGAUCAUGCCACUGUACUCCAGCCUGGGUGACAAGAGCAAGACCCUGUCUCUCAAAAAAAAAAAAACGCGGCUGGGUGGAACAUCUGGAAAACAUCUUUAAAGAACGCUGACUCAAUCAGGAGGAGCACCAUUUUGUUUCUUGCCCUCUGCCCUUCCUGCCUGAAACAGGUAAGGUGACUACUGCUCUUUGGCCAUUAUGGGUGACAAACUGAACUUGAGACUGGAAGCCAUGUCCUAUAAAAGAUAAAUAGGGCCAGGCGCGGUGGCUCACGCCUCUAAUCCCAGCACUUUGGGAGGCCGAGAUGAGUGGAUCACGAGGUCAGGAGAUCGAGACCAUCCUGGCUAACACGGUGUAAACCUCGUCUCUAUUAAAAAUAACAAAAAAAUUAGCCGGGCGUGGUGGCGGGCGCCUGUAGUCCCAGCUACUCCGGAGGCUGAGGCAGGAGAAUGGUGUGAACCCGGGAGGCGAAGCUUGCAGUGAGCCCAGAUCGCACCACUGCACUCCAGCCUGGGCUACAGAGCAAGACUCCGUCUCAAAAAAAAAAAAAAAAAAGAUAAAUAGAAGGAGCCCAGGUACCUUGUGACACUGGAGUGUCAUAUUAGCCCUGGACUACCCACCUCCAGACUUGUUUUAUAUGACAGAAAAAUAAAUCCUUAGUGUUUAAGCCAGUAUAAUUUGGCAUUUUUGGUUAUAUGCAACUGAAUCGAAUACUAAUUGAUAAUACCAUGUUGUAAUGUUAAAUAUAAAAGGUAAGUUGCUAAGUAAAGCCAGAAGAAUAUAAACUCAAACGUGUAUAGGUGAUAGGCCAGUAAUACAGAAAGGUGGAUGAGUGGCAGUAUAAAUAGUAGGGAUGCAGAGGACAUGUUGAAUUGGAAAGCCCCUGCAACAUUAAUAAUAUUACCAUGUGGCCAUGUGGAUUGAGAUCUUCCAGUUUUUCAUGUUAAAUUUCCCCAGUGUUCUGCAAACAAAACAUUUUCCCAGCUGUAUCUACAUUGCAGCCUAUCAGUUUGUGACUUUUGAUUUGUACUAUGGUCUAAUAUUUAGAAAAAUGGAAUAAAAGGGAGAAGGAUGGAAGGGAGAAAAGAAGGAAGGGUGGACCAGCACUUCGGGAGGCUGAGGUGGCUGGAUUAUGAGGUCAGGAGUUUGAGACCAGCCUGGACAAUGUGGUGAAACCCCAUCUCCACUAAAAAUACAAAAAUUAGCUGGGCAUGGUGGCAUAUGCCUGUAAUCCCAGCUACUCGGGAGGCUGAGGCAGGAGAAUCGCUUGAACUCGGGAAGCGGAGGUUGCAGUCAGCCAAGAUUGUGCCACUGCACUCCAGCCUGGGUGACAGAGCGAGACUCCAUCUCAAAAAAAAAAAAAAAAAGUUAUUGUCUGCUGUGUGUUAAACUGGGAGUCUAAUGUAUAAACAUGUGACCUUGCCACUUUGGAGAAAUUCCAGGAAAUGGUACAAAUGGUACCUUGAUUUUUUUUUUUUCUUUUUUCCUUUUGAGACAGAGUCUCUUGCUCUGUCACCCAGGCUGGAGCGCAAUGGCACAAUCUUGGCUGACUGCAACCUCCACUUCCCAAGUUCAAGCGAUUCUCCUGCCUCAGCCCCCCGAGCAGCUGGUAUUACAGGCAUAUGCCACCCCACCCAGCUAAUUUUUGUAUUUUUAGUAGAGACGGGGUUUCACCACGUUGUCCAGGCUGGUCUUGAACUCCUGACCUCAUGAUCCACCCACCUUGGCCUCCCAAAGUGCUGGGAUUACAGGCAUGAGCCACCGCGCCCGCCACCUUGAUUAUUGUUUAAAUAAAAGAUGAAUAAAAGUACAUUCUUAUUUUUGAUUAUAAUGUGGCCCAAUGUAUACAUUUCACUUAGUGUAGCACAUCACAUUGUUCUUACUAAAACUAUUUCUAGUUUUACACCAGCUCAGAUUUUUAAAUAUUCAUUGCUUUUUCCUACUUCUGUCUCAGGCAUUGCCAUUCUCUUCAAAACAUAUUUGAAAAAUGUCCAGGCUUCUCAUCUCUGUGUAAAACUGUUCAGUUUGUUCCAGUGUGACGAGAAGAAAUUGGACUGAGCAUACUUUUUUGUGAGACAUCCAUUUUCUUCCUUUGAUGAAUUUGACAACUUGUGACAAUUCUCACAUUUUGGAACAAGUCUCCUAAUUAUAGAAGAAGCUAAUAAUGAUAAUAUAAGAAAUUAUAAAUUAUUUGACUGUUUUCAAUUUAUCCAAAAGGAAGUUUAUCAAACUUUCUCCUCCUACUUUCUGCUCCACCCCACCCCUCAGCCCCGAUGCACACGCUGUGCCGUCACAGCACUUAUGCCUAGAGAAUUAUGAUCCUUAAAUAGCAGUCAACUCUUCUUAAAUAGCAGUCAGUUGUUCUAGCAGUGUAUCAGUUAGACAUUCUAGAAUAUUUCACAAAAUAAGAAUUUUGCAGAAGGAACAUUAUAGCUCCCUAGGUCUAGCAAAUGAGGGAACUAGGGUACAGAGAAAUUAAGUGACUUAAGAUCUCACAACAAACUAGUGGAGUACUUCUACUUAAAUAUAUCUCUAGAUACUCAUAGAAGGUAAAAGCUACAUUGAAAAUUCACACAACUCUUCUGGAAAGUGGCAAAUUCAAUGAUGCUGUAAAGUCUGGCAUAAUAUUCUAGUGGUCAAGACACUUUGGGUAGUAAAUGAGAGAGGCCAAAUUCAAAUCAGGCUAAGAAUAAAAAGAAAUGUUUUCUUUCAAGUGGGUGGAGCUCAAGUAAGUGUAAAUUCCAGGGGAUAAAUUGGAUUCAGGCAUAGCUGGAUGCAAAGGCUCAAAAAUGUCAUCAGAAUCUGCCUCUUUUUCUCUCUUGGUGUUGCUUGCCACUGUGUUGUCCUCAUUCUCAGGUAGCUUGACUCACACAGCUACAACAAUGGCUUAUAUCCUAAUGGUUGAUCAGCCACAGGGCAGAGUACACUUUUCCUCAGUGGUCCAAGCAAAAAUCCUGGGGCUCACUCUUACUGGCUGACUUGGAUCAGGUGUCCUUCUGGAGCACAACACAGUGACUCCAGGUGGCCAAGCUUGAAUCUCAUGCCACAUCCCUACCACCAGCUCCACUAAAAAGAACCACAUGGACAGAAGGGGAGGAGUGGUUACAAAGGGAAAAAUAAAUGUUUAUUACCCAGGGAGGGAUAAUGAAUGUAAGGCAAGCAAAAACGGGAAAAAAAAAAGUCCAUUAAAAAUUCAAUUUACACUAUUUACACUCACAUUGCACUGUAAACUGAUGCAAUUAAGAGUCUCAUUUCUUGCUUGGUGGUUAGGGAUUUAUAUUUCAUUAAAAAAAAUACUACCAACAUUAAGUAAGGGGAUACUUGAAGAAAACAAAGAUAUGCGAUGAAGAAAACUGGGCUUUGCAAAAAAAAAAAAAAAAAAGAUGUACUGUGAGUAUGUGUGUGUUUAUUAUAUUGUUAGUCCAUAAAUGAACACAAAGGCAAAUGAAAAAUAAAAACACUGGACAUCUGCCAAACAUUACAUUAAUCUCAAUGUUUGAUGAUUCCAUCAGUCCUGCACUGGGGAAAGCAGUCAUUAUGUUUUUGUGGUAGCAUUUGUUUAUUUUGGUUUCCAUAUCAUCUCAAAUGCUGAUGAGCUUGUGCUAGCUACGUGUACUAGUAUUUUAUUGAAAGGCAUAUAAUUAUUUAGUUCAUAAAGAGAAGUAGUCUCAUACACGGCCAAUUCUUUAUCAUAACUAGCAUUCUCUUCAUUUGUCCAUUCAUUCAUUCGUUUAUAUUAAGUGCCAGUUAGGAACUAGGAACAAGGCUGGACUCUAAGGAGAUGACUAAUUUGCAGCCCCACCCUUUGAAGUCAAAGUACCGUAAAGAGAAACAGGCAAGUAAAAAUUAAAGUACACCAUGACAAGUGAUUAACACAGGGCUUUAGAAGGAGAGGAGGACUCUAAGUUAGAGAUCAAAGAAAGCUUCAAAGAUGGCUUAGGGAAUGCUUUCCAGGGUGGAAAGGAGGUUAAAGGCAAUUCUAGAGAAAAUAACAUACAAUGACACAGAGACUUAAAAGAACCCUGGGUGUUUAAGAAAUGGGUUACAACUCUGGCUAUGACAUAGGGUGUGUACAGGGGAAGAGUUGAUGUGAAUGACUUUGUGUGCUAAGUUUGGACUUUGCCUUGUAAUUCUAAAACUCCCUCAGCUGGAACCAGACUGACAGUAAAGAGCCAUCUGGAUAACUUGUUAAAAAUACAGAUUGCUCAGACCUCACUUCUAGAAAUUUUGAUUCAGAGGAAUCUGUGUUUUAAAAAAAUUUCCAGCUGGGCUCAGUGGCACGCCUAUAAUCUCAGCUACUUGGGAGACUGCGGCCGGAGGAUCACACGAGGUCAAGAGUUUGAGACCAACCUGAGAAACAUAGCAAGACCUCGUCUAAAAAAAUGAAGAAUUUCCUAUGUAAUUCUGGAGUACAUCCAAGUUUGAGAACCACUGUGUGUAGGAAAUGAGGAUCCGUCAAAGGGUCUUGGGAAAAAUAAUAACAUACUUUGGAAAGAGAGGCCGGGCACGAUGCCUCACACCUGAAAUCCCAGCACUUUGGGAGGCCGAGGCGGGUGGAUCACCUGAGGUCAGGAGUUCGAGACCAGCUUGGCCAAUAUGGUGAAACCCCACGUCUACUAAAAAUACAAAAAUUAGCCGGGCUUGGUGGCGUGCACCUGUAAUCCCAGACUUUAGGGAGGCUGAGGCAGGAGAAUCACUUGAACUUGGGAGGCAGAGGUUGCAGUGAGCCGAGAUCAUGCCAUUGCACUCCAGCCUGGGCAGCAGAGCGAGACUCCGUCUCAAAAAAAAAAAGAGAGCCCUUUUUUCCAGUGGCAAAUUGCUUUACAGCAUGUCAAAACAGGAGAUGGAGAGACCUGAUAAACGAGUGUGUGACAGAACAAAUCAGAAAUGGCGAGCACCUGCACUGUAGCAGAGGCAGUGGGGGUGGAGAGGAGGCGAAUGUUCAGAGGCAUUUCUGAGAAAUGUAAUCCACAGGACCAGAUGAGCUGUUUGAUGUGAAAAGGGGCGGAUUUUCAUUUGAAAAGGGUGCCUUCGAGAACUGGAAGUGACAGGUAAGCAGGAAGCGUGGCUGUGUCUACAACAUAUGAAUGUUAGCUCAAGGUGGGAGACCAGGCUGGAGCUUGCCAUGGCAGGAGGCCAACGCUUGGGGCCUGCCUAGCCAAGAGCCAGAGGCUCAGAUCCGGGAACCCUGAGGUUGCAGGCUUGCUGACUACCCUUUGCCUGGGGACACAUCCCCUUUGUUCUACCUGUGGCUCCUUGCCAGUAGUCAUCUCUCAUAGCCCUGUAGUUAGGUUUGGUUUUUUUGUUUGUUUUGUUUGGGGUUUUGAGAUAGGGUCUCACUCUCUCGCCCAGAUUGGAGUGCAGUGUCGUGAUCUCAGCUCACCACAACCUCCACCGCAGGCUCAAGAGAUUCUCCUGCCUCAGCCUCCCGAGUAGCUGGGAUUACAGGUGCACAUACUACCUCCCGGCUAACUUUUGUAUUUUUAGUAGUGACAGGAUUUUAUCAUGUUGGCCAGGCUGGUCUCAAACUCCUUGACCUCAGGCGAUCCACCCGCCUCGGCCUCCCAAAGUGGUGGGAUUACAGGUAUGAGCUACCGUGCCCAGCCCCUGUAGUUAGGUUUUAUCUCUAAUCUAUAUAACUCCCUGAAGCCAGAACUAUGAUUUAUCUGUACGUUCUGAGACCCUAGCCUAGUGCUGACACAUAUUUGAUGCUCACUAAUAAUUUCUAGGUGAAUGAAUUUUAUUAAUUUCCUAGAUAAUUACAGCUACCAUAGCCUAAUUAUAUCUGAAUAGUCCUUUGGCCUCAUUUUUUUGUGAUAGUUAUAUACAUUUGUAUUUCUAUAAUUCUACAUGCUUCCAUUAUUGCUUUCCAAAAUUCACAUUUUUGUGAAGAAGAAGAGAGUAAGCAAAAGACAUUCCUUCCUCCCAGACAUUAAUUACUGCAAGAUGCCUGUGUAAUUAGUGAAACAGGCAUCUCCUACAUGUGUUAAUUUAGAUUCCACCAAAAAGUGCUUGAUUAACAAAAAAAUUUAAAAAUUUUCAAUUGAAUUACUUUAAAACAAGGAAUAAUUUCCAAUUUAGUUAUCCAGACAAGUUGUAUGGAUCCAGACAGAUUAUUUUUAAAUAAGGUGUUAUGGGCCAGGCAUGGUGGCUCACACCUAUAAUCCCAGCACUUCGGGAGACCAAGGUGGGUGGAUCACCUGAGGUCAGGAGUUUGAGGCCAGCCCGGCCAACACGGAGAAACCCUGUCUCUACUAAAAUUACAAAAAAUUAGCUGGGCGUGGUGAUGCGUGCCUGUAAUCCCAGCUACUUGGGAGGCUGAGUCAGGAGAGUCGCUUGAACCCAGGAGGCAGAGGUUGCAGUGAGCUGAGAUUGCACCAUUGCACUCCAGCCUGGGCAACAAGAGCAAAACUCUGUCUCAAAAUAAACAAAUAAAUAAAAAAUAAAGUGUUAUUAUCAUGUCUAAAGUAUCUAUUUGUCUUUUUCACAUAUGAUGCUACAUGGAAUAAAUUAGAGAAGCUUUACUCAAGCCCCAAAGUAGUCACUACCAUGAAUGAUAAGUAAUAUAAGGAAGAAAAUGUAAGACAAGUUUCUUCACUGUGUAUGUGGUUUCAUUCUGUUCGUGGAUUGGAUGAUUCCUCUUUCAUUAACUUUUCCAUUUUCUUUGCCUUUCUUGCAGAUAAGUGCCCUCUGUGUACCAAAAAGGAAUGUACUGUUUAUAGAGACUUCAAAUCAGCAGAAAAUUCAAAUAGUUAUAACUUUUCUUUAUAAUCCAUCAUGAAAAAGAGUAACGACAAGUAAGCAAACUAAUAUCAGCUAUUUCAAUAGUUUCUUUUCCUUUUUUUUCUUUUUGAGACAGAGUCUCGACAGGAUGGAGUGCAGUGGUGCAAUCUCAGCUCACUGCAACCUCCGCUUCCCGGGUUCAAGCGAUUCUCCUGCCUCAGCCUCCUGAAUAGGUGGGACUACAGGUGCAUGCCACCAUGCCCAGCUAAUUUUUGUAUUUUUAGUAGAGAUGGGGUUUCACCAUGUUGACCAAGAUGGUCUCCAUCUCUUGACUCGUGAUCCGCCCACCUCGACCUCCCAAAGUGCUGGGAUUACAGGCGUGAGCCACCGCGCCCGACCUUUUUUUUUUCUUUUUUUAAUAAGUUUUUGUUCUGUCACCCAGACUGGAAUGCAGUGGUGUAGUUGUCGCUCACUGCAGCCUCUAACUCCUGGGCUCAAGGGAUCCUCCUGCCUCAGCCACCCCAAGUGCUGGGAUUACAGGCGUGAGACACUGCACCUGGCCUAAAUACAAUUUCCAAGCAGAUAUGACUGUUAACUUACUUUGUUGAACCAAAAAAAACGUAGCUAAGAUAUUGGCAAAAACUAAGAAAACAUCUUUUUUGGAUUCUCAUGUCUACAUUUCAGCCUAUUAUUUGGAAUGAAUUCCUACAUGUGCAUAAUGAAUUGUACCACUCUAAGCCUAUUGACUCUUUGUUACUUCACUGUGUGUGUUUCCUGGAUAUGGCUGAAUUAUCCUGAAAACCUAUAAUUUCCUGUUUCCCUGAUCUCCAGGAGACUAUUUUAUGCUUCUCUACUAAUAUUUAUGAUGUGUAUAUGUUAGUCUCCUGUAUUGACUCCACUCCUGUUUAUGACCCUCUUCCUGUAUACAAUACCCGUCAUACCUCAUUGACCUUGCCCAUCCCCUAGUUGUGGCUUCUCUGACCUGCCUUCAUCUUUUGCUACCCCAAAUCCCGUAUAACAUACUGUGUGCUAGGCUUAAUGUGCUGGUCAUUUGCCUGCUUGCUCUCAGAUUCAUUAUUUUUGUCCUUCUCUUACUCUGUCUAUGUCACAGGAAGCUGAUUCCUGCCAACUGCAUUUCCUGGGCUCAUUUAACCAUGCCCAGAAGGAAUUAGGACAAUGAAAGAUAAAAAGAUAAAGGAGCCAACAUAUCCUCUCCCCUUUGAUUCAGACGACUUCUCCACCAUCACCUUCUUCACAAUGGCCACUUUUCCUCUGCAGUUGGGGUUCUUCUUCCCCAGCAAUGGCUCCAGGACUCUGUUAACUCAGCUCCUCCCCAGUUCUAGAGGUAGACGGUAGAGGCUUCCUGCUAUUGUUACUCUGGGGUUCCCCUUCUUCUCCAGUUUGGCUUUCCAGCCCUUCCAACUCCUUUGUAACUAGUUCCUGGUAUCAAAUUCACUUAACUGAACUACCUGACUUCGGCCCUGAUGUUUGAGUGGACCCCAUCUCACACACUGAGGUUGACAAUACUUGGCAAGUUGUUAGGCGAAGAGCAAAACAAUAAUCAUAAUCAUAGAAGCAUUCAUGUAGGUAUUGCAAGGCUCACAUCUCCAAAAUGUCCAGUGGAGACAUGAAAUAAUGAAUAUGUUACAUAGUGACAGUCAUUUAAAAUUUUUCAAAAGCCACUUUCAUUUUGUUCUUUUCUUCAUUCUUUAGUAAUCCCCCAUCAAUAGAGAAACUAUGGGGGAAAGGAGCAGAGUAUACAAAGAAUGAUGCCCACAGUGAGCCCAAAAUAGCUCCAAGUGGAUUUGCCUGCACGAAAGAAAGAUGUAAUCAGCACCCAGAGUAGGUAGCGAAACAGUCAACACUGCUGUUCCUCUCAAGACCCCUGCUGCUCUCCCACCAGAAACGUAGUCGCUCUCUGCAUUAAUUUGAUCUUCCCAUGACGUGAAAGCAUCAAUUAUAAGUUGUACGAUAAGUCAAGCUUAUUAUAUGUAAGAGUCCAGGCCAGGCGCAGUGGCUCACGCCUGUAAUCCCAGCACUUUGGGAGGCCAAGGCGGGUGGAUCACAAGGUCAGGACCUCGAGACCAUCCUGGCUAACAUGGUGAAACCCUGUCUCUACUAAACAAAAUACAAAAAAUUAGCCGGGCGUGGUGGCGGGUGCCUGUAGUCCCAGCUACUUGGGAGGCUGAGGCAGGAGAAUGGCGUCAACCCGGGAGGCAGGGCUUGCAGUGAGCUCAGAUCACGCCACUGCACUCCAGCCUGGGCGACAAAGCAAGACUCUGUCUC
rnacentral:lncRNA from 1 species